UACGAAGGGGGCUAGCGUUGCUCGGAAUUACUGGGCGUAAAGGGCGCGUAGGCGGCCUGCUAAGUCGAACGUGAAAUCCCCGGGCUCAACCCGGGAACUGCGUCCGAUACUGGUAGGCUUGAAUUCGGGAGAGGGAUGCGGAAUUCCAGGUGUAGCGGUGAAAUGCGUAGAUAUCUGGAAGAACACCGGUGGCGAAGGCGGCAUCCUGGACCGGUAUUGACGCUGAGGCGCGAAAGCCAGGGGAGCAAACGGG
rnacentral:rRNA from 1 species